AUGUCUAAGAAUAAACUCUUGAAUGGUGAAUCUGCGAAUGGCUCAUUAAAUCAGUUAUUGUUUAUUUGAUGGUAACUUACUACAUGGAUAACCGUAGUAAUUCUAGAGCUAAUACAUGCGUAAAGCCCCAUUCGGGGUGCAUUUAUUAGAUUCAAACCAUCGGCUCUUCACGGGGCCUUUGAUGGUGAGUCAUAAUAACUGAGCGAAUCGAAUGGCCUUGUGCCGUCGAUGCUUCAUUCAAAUUUCUGCCCUAUCAGCUUUCGAUGGUAGGAUCUUGGCCUACCAUGGCUAUAACGGGUAACGGGGAAUUAGGGUUCGAUUCCGGAGAGGGAGCUUGAGAAACGGCUACCACAUCCAAGGAUGGCAGCAGGCGCGCAAAUUACCCAAUCCCGACACGGGGAGGUAGUGACAAUAAAUAACGAUGCUGGAUUAUAUUAGUCCGGCAAUUGGAAUGAGAGUAAUUUAAAUCAAUACUCGAGGAGCCAUUGGAGGGCAAGUCUGGUGCCAGCAGCCGCGGUAAUUCCAGCUCCAAUAGCGUAUAUUAAAGUUGUUGCAGUUAAAAAGCUCGUAGUCUGAAUCUUGGUUGGUGGUGAGCGUCCGUGGCUUCGGUCACGUGCAUGCGAUAUACACCGGGCCAUAUCCUUCGGAGGAACACGGGUGCUUUCAUUAAGUGCUCGUGGGAUUCCGAUAGUUUACUUUGAGAAAAUAGAGUGUUCAAGCAGCGUUUUGCCUUGAAUACAUUAGCAUGGGAUAUA
rnacentral:rRNA from 1 species